rnacentral:rRNA from 1 species
ACGGGAGGCAGCAGUGGGGAAUAUUGGGCAAUGGGGGAAACCCUGACCCAGCAACGCCGCGUGAAGGAAGAAGGCCUUCGGGUUGUAAACUUCUUUUACCAGGGACGAUAAUGACGGUACCUGGAGAAAAAGCAACGGCUAACUACGUGCCAGCAGCCGCGGUAAUACGUAGGUUGCAAGCGUUGUCCGGAUUUACUGGGUGUAAAGGGCGUGUAGGCGGAGCUGCAAGUCAGAUGUGAAAUCCCGGGGCUCAACCCCGGAACUGCAUUUGAAACUGUAGCCCUUGAGUAUCGGAGAGGCAAGCGGAAUUCCUAGUGUAGCGGUGAAAUGCGUAGAUAUUAGGAGGAACACCAGCGGCGAAGGCGACUUUCUGGACUGUAACUGACACUGAGGUACGAAAGCGUGGGGAGCAAACAGGAUUAGAUACCCUGGUA